rnacentral:piRNA from 1 species
GAAAAUGCAGAAGCCUAACAGGAGCCAC